UUCUCCUAAAUAUGAAUAUAGUCAAAGCUCUUGGUGUCUCACACAUCAUAUUUUAAGACCUAGUAACACAGUUUUUGCCUUCUUGGGCCAUGAAGACCAGCCUCUACCUGAGAUGGUGGAGGGUUGGUGAAAAGCUUCCCUGGAAGGAGUAGUUUGGCUCACUGUCAGUCAUCCCAGGGCAGCAAAAGAGCUGGUUUUAGACUCUGCACAUGGAUAUGUGGGAGGCCUGCAGAUUUUUACUGGGGGCACUGACUGGUCCCUGCUAUGUGGAAGUCUGCAGGGAGACAGGAAGAGGUUGGGUUUGGGAUCUUAAAACGUGCAUUUCCUUCUCUCCUCUAGCAGUAAGCUGUGCUUUGAAUGAUGAAGAGAGCAGGCUGUGUCCAUCGCCAGGUGGAAUCCAUUGGCAGUAGGCAGAGCGGACAGCAGCCUGGAGAAGGGUCUUGUGGGAUGACAGAAGGGGGCCUGAAGGAAAGCUCUGGUUCAGUGAAGUUGCGGAGCCCCAUGGGGACCCAUGGUGGGAUGAAAUGACCCUAAGUCCCCUGGGGACAGAAUGGAUGCUCCACAUUACCAUGAUAGAGCCUGCUAGUUAUAAACUGAAUAUUCAUGAAACGAUGUCAAUAUUUUGUAAUCCACAGGCUGAUGAGAUCUGAGGACACAUGGGUGAUAUAACGAAGGACUUCUGAAAGUUUGGAGGAGCUGCUGUAAUAGGCUCGACCGUGCUGUGCUCUCAGGGUGUUCCAGUGGUCCUUGGUUUUGGCUUCCAACCAGAGGCUACAUCCUUCAAUGACGGCCCAGUUGAUCUAUGACUUGGCUUCCUGAAUCUUCAAGCCUGAAAUCUUCCCUGCCCCUGCCCGUGUUGGUGUCUUCCCCUGCUUCCCUGAAGACAGAAACGGAUUAGAGAAACUUCCUGAUCAAAUGGAAAAAGCAAUACCAGACAAACAGUUACAGCUCAGGAGCUGAGUAACGGUAGCAUAAUGCAUCUUGGUGGUCGGAUUGCUCACACUGUUGCCUCUAGAACGCAGAGCAUCUGUGAAGAUUUGGAGAGCUGGUACCUGUGCAGCCCUGGGCAUUGUGGAUGGCACGAGGGACCAAACUUGUUCUUGAACCCUGUCUAGAAAUGGGAGAACCAUCCACAUGUGGAAAAGCUUUCAGCUGAAACAGACAAGAGGUGGCUGAUCCUCUCUUCUUGAUCCAGUCUGGGCGCUCACCUUGUAGUUGGCUGGGCUUGGUCUCCUGCUCAUUGGAAAAGACUCUGAUGCUGGGAGGGAUUGCGGACAGGAGGAGAAGGGGACGACAGAGGAUGAGAUGGCUGGAUGGCAUCACUGACUUGAUGGACAUGAGUCUCAGUGAACUCCAGGAGCUGGUGAUGGACAGGGAGGCCUGGCGUGCUGCGAUUCAUGGGGUCGCAAAGAGUCGGACACGACUGAGUGACUGAUCCGAUCUGAUCUGGAGCUACCAAAAUGAGAGAGACUGGGAAGCUUGGUGUUCAGUCAUGUCAUCACUGGGAUCCUACUAGGAGAACAAGGUACCAUGCAGCCACUGGAAAGGCUGAGUGUCUAGAAAGGGCCAUAACAGAGGAAAAUCCUUCUUCUUGGCUGACUGGGACCAGGACUGGCUUUAAAGCAAUUGGCGCAGAUGCUGAGUGAGGGGGUGCUUUCAUUUUGUGCUCAAUAAAACCAGUUUUAUUCA